rnacentral:tRNA from 1 species
GAAUCAAUUGAAGAUGCGGGCCGUUGUGUUUGGGUUAUCGUUCGGGACGACGAGGUGUGGGUUCGACUCCCACUGGAUUCU